rnacentral:lncRNA from 1 species
AAAAUGAACGUUUUUCCCCUUUAAGUGAAUUUCAGUUAACUUGGCUAUUCUCCUCCCUCUAAUUGAGGGAAAGGCCCCCUGCUUUCCCCAUCACAGGGAGGGGGCGGAGCAUCCUCUGAGAAGCUUGGGAGUGAGCUGUGCCAGGCCAGUCUUGGGGGAGGAGCUGCAUUUCACGAGGCUGCAGCUGACAAGAAGCUUCAAGGCAGCCUGUCUCCUUCUGGAGUGAGAAUCAAGACAACCCGAUCACAGGGCCAGACUCUACAUCAGGUAAGGCUCUUCCCAUUUCACAAAAUAUUUCAAAUUAAAAACAUAU